rnacentral:misc_RNA from 1 species
AAGUCGUAACAAGGUUUCCCGUAGGUAAACCUGCCGGAAGGGAUCAUUUAAAGAAUUAGGCUUCGCGGCCAAGUUCUCACCCUUUGUAUACCGAAACCAUGUUGCUUUGGCAGGCCCCCUGCAUUUCUCCGGGCCUGCCAGGAGGGUUAUAAACCCCUAGAAUCUCUGCUGUCUGAGUACUAUAUAAUAGUUAAAA